GCCUCGGCUGUGAUGCUUAAUACACGCAUAGUUCAUCCGACGUGGGCUUACUACCCACAAUGCUGAACUAGAAUUGUCUUUCGCUCCUAUCUGAGCCGAGGU
rnacentral:snoRNA from 1 species